rnacentral:rRNA from 1 species
UACGUAGGGUGCGAGCGUUUAAUCGGAAUUACUGGGCGUAACGCGUGCGCAGGCGGUUUUGUAAGCCAGAUGUGAAAUCCCCGGGCUUAACCUGGGAAUGGCAUUUGGGACUGCAAGGCUUGAGUGCGGCAGAGGAGACUGGAAUUCCUGGUGUAGCAGUGAAAUGCGUAGAUAUCAGGAGGAAUACCGAUGGCGAAAGGCAGGUCUCUGGGCUGACACUGACGCUCAUGCACGAAAGCGUGGGGAGCAAACAGGAUUA